UACGGGGGGAGCAAGCGUUGUUCGGAUUUACUGGGCGUAAAGGGCGCGUAGGCGGCGCGACAAGUCACUUGUGAAAUCUCCGGGCUUAACUCGGAACGGCCAAGUGAAACUGUCAAGCUAGAGUGCAGAAGGGGCAAUCGGAAUUCUUGGUGUAGCGGUGAAAUGCGUAGAUAUCAAGAGGAACACCUGAGGUGAAGACGGGUUGCUGGGCUGACACUGACGCUGAGGCGCGAAAGCCAGGGGAGCAAACGGG
rnacentral:rRNA from 1 species